rnacentral:rRNA from 1 species
UACGAAGGGUGCAAGCGUUACUCGGAAUUACUGGGCGUAAAGCGUGCGUAGGUGGUUUGUUAAGUCUGUUGUGAAAGCCCCGGGCUUAACCUGGGAACUGCGUUUGAUACGGAUGGGCUAGAGUUCGGGAGAGGAGAGUGGAAUUCCCAGUGUAGAGGUGAAAUUCGUAGAUAUUGGGAAGAACACCGGUGGCGAAGGCGGCUCUCUGGACCGAGACUGACGCUGAGGCGCGAAAGCGUGGGGAGCAAACAGG